AUGGAGGUCAUUGCUGAUAUUGAUUAUAUUUUCCGGCAACAAGACAUCAAGUCACCCAGUGACUUCCUCCAAGAACUUCUCAAAGUUAUGAAUAGCUUAACAACUCCAGCUCCAACAGGGAAUAAAACAACUCAGAAACCUGUACAAACACCAAAUGUGAUUGGGAAGGUGAUUAUUUACAUUCGGCUCAUAUUUAUCACACGGGGCCCUGUACCAAGUGAUGCAAAAAUAUUACAAUUGGCAAACUCUCUGCUGGCCGCACGUUUCAGAAUUAAACGAGAACUAAGGGCACAAAGCUUAGGUACCCCUGUGAGCUUUGUGAAUGUUACUUACACAAAACUUUCUGAUACGUCAUAUUCCCUGAAUUUUGGAUUUGAAAUCAACAAUGUUACCAUGUCUCAGAAACUUGAACUCAGGGAUACAACAUAUAAAUUAAUCCAGGACUCUAUAAAUAAAUUGUUGAACGAGAUCCUAACUGAGCCCACAGCCACUCCAUUUGAGUUCAAAGAUACCAAUUUCACGGGUAAUUCCACCACUAUUCAGGCUGAUGUACAGUAUGUUUUCUCAGAAAACGACAUCCAGAAACCCAGUGCCUUUCUCUAUGCACUUAUUGUGGUUAAUAAUGAGACUAUUACCACUACAACUACACCUGCUGCAACAAGAACCACCUUUUACUCCACAGUGCUGAGCACUACAAUCACAAAUAACAGCACUAGUGCAGCAUGGGUUGUGGCCAUUAUUGUACCCUGUGCUAUUGUCAUCAUCCUCGUACCUUGCUGGAUUCUCCUUUGUUGUUUACUGUGUGGUUGCUGUACAGCAUUAAGAAGACGGUGGUCCAGAAGACGGUCAUACAAUGUACAAUACACCACUCAUAACAGCCUUUUCUAGAGAGCUCGAGACACAUCAGGAACAUUUUCUAACACUAAUGACUAAUUACUUAUAUUACUAAAUCAAAUUGUGAUUGUGGUACUUUAAAGUUUACAUUUAACUUUCCAUAAUGAUUAUGAUAUCUUACAGCUUUUAUAAUGCACUAUUUAUUUUAUUGUGCCUGUAUUGCUGGACAGACAGGAUCUUAAAUUGUGAUUAAUGUAAUUUAUUUUCAGAAUUGUUUAAUGGAUAAAAAAAUUGUAUUUACGAUUUCUGUAAGGUUUAAAAUAUUUGCAUGUUAUAAUAUUUUGGGAUUUCCAAAUAAUUAAUUUAUUUGAUAUUACACAUUUCAUUUUAAGGGGCAAUGUUGGUAAUGUUAAACUUAUUUACACUUUAUGCACUUUAGUUCCGCUUUACACACAGAUGUAGAAUGUAAAACAAGCAGCAACAUCAAUCAACAGUCAUUUUAUCUGCAUAAUUUUUAGAUCUCGUUUUUUAAAUGAUCACUUCUGUUCUGACAAGAUUGUCCUGCAGCUGCUGACAGGAUUUUUUUUUUCUUUUUAGUAAGGCAUUACACAAACAGCUUUCUUCACCUUUUAAAUCAAAACAACAUUAAUAAAUUUAAGAACAACUGUAUAUGUAACCAAAUGAUUAUGAUCUAGCAGGAGCCUGCAUGCAUAACAAUCUCCUUUCGUUGUAAGUUUACU
rnacentral:lncRNA from 1 species